GACUAUUGGGGAAUCCUCGAGUUCCUUCCUGAAAUUUUACCACUAAACAAUCUUCACCAUUUGUCUUUGGCAAAUAUUAGGAUCAUGGCAGAUGAAAACCUAAGAUCAGUGAAUUGUAUGCUCUUGAUGUACACACUUAUCUUUGUGAUGUGAGAAGAAAUAGAUAUGUCCCAUUCGAUUGGAGUCCUUUCAUCGGAGAUUGGAGAAGGAACAUCAGGUAAAUUUGGUGUAUCAUAUUGCAUCAUGGAAUCCAUGGCAGUUUCCAUAUAAUCUAGGGUUAUAGAUGCAAAUCUUUGCUCUAUAACGGUUCUUAAUGUAGCCUGUUGAAAUUGUUGAGCAUCUUAGGUGUCGCACUGAUCGGCUUUGCAGCCUAGUUCGGAAUAUGUGAAGGAUAUCGUUCUGGCACAUAAAUAAAGGGAGGGAAGAAAGGGCCGGCCUUUAUAUGCGAGUAGAAUUUUUCAGUUCUACUUGCAAACUAUUCUUUAUGUGAAGAUAUGAACAUUUUUUCUUGAUGGAUAGCGAGGCCCUAUGUGGAAAGGGGACAGUUGACAGAAUCUGAUUGUGAUGGCUGCUGACGAGACUAAAAAGCCUUCAAGACAACUCUGGAAGCUUGUGAAGAAACAGUACCGAACUUCAUGGAAGAUCCCAAUUUGUCACGAUGUCAAUGCAUCACCGAUUUCUUCGUGAUUUGAGAGCAUAAGGACGAAGAGUGUGCAUGUGCUUUUGGGAUUCCAUUGCUUUGUCAUCGCUAGAGCUUAUUAGUAUGGUAUGGAAUACUCUCAGGGCAGGCAAUUUUGCAGCAUCAAUGAGGAGACAACCAUAGUUGGAGGAGCAAUGAGCUUGAGCAUGUUAUUUCGGCUGAAAUUAAAAAGGAAAAAAAAUUGCUUAGAAGUGAAGGAACUGAUGUGAUCAUAAGAUUGAGAUAAUGCGGAAAAGUUAUUGUAAGGGAAAAUGACAUAGAUGAUCUUUAAUCUUUGGUUUAAUAGGCGAUGUGGUUUCUGAAUUUUUAAUUUGCUUGAUGUAGUCUCUGAACUUUGGUCCAAUGUGCAAUGUCAUCCCUAAAUAUUAAAUUUCUUUAAUGUGACUCCUGAACUAUUAGUAAAAGAUCGAUUUAGUCUUUCACCUAUAUGAAGAUAUCUACUAUUGUUCUUUCGGUAAUUCAAGUUAAUGGAAUCUUUGUGUGGCUUCCGAUAUGUUAUAUUUGAAUGGUAGAUCUUAAAAAGGGUUUUGCAUGGAUUGUCCACCUAUAUCGUUCGUCUCAAAUCAAGGAAAGAAAUUGUCAUGUGUAAUAUUUGAAGUUCGUCAUUUGCUUAUUUCCUUUUCUAAAGUAAAUGGAUUAAAUGAUAGACAUGCUGACUCAUCAUUCAAGCAUGUCAUUUGAGCCAAGAGGAAAACCACAUUGAAAAUUUAUUACUAGUUCAAAAAUCACAUUUCACAUAUUAAAAAUUCAGAGACAAAAUUACAUGUCAAAUCAAAAUUCAUGGAUUGUUUAUGUUGUCAUCUCUUAUUGAGACAGGGCAGUCUCUUGCCAUUCUUCAUUUCAGCACAGAAAGCAUGGGUAAAAUGAUCUAUAUCGCAAGCCCGAUGGUAUUUAAUCAAAUCACAUCCCUACCAUGACACUCAUUACGAUGUUUCGCAAAGUGAAGUACACAUUAGUGGUCCACUCAUUGCAUGAGAAUACAUGCGUUUUUUUUGUGAGAGAGAGAGAUAGAGAGAGAGAGAGAGAGAGAGAGAGAGAGAGAGAGAGAUGUAAAAGAAGGAAGCAUGUAUCAGGAAUUUUCUGGAUUAUAAAGCAUGAAUGGUGCUUAUGAAAGUGAAAAAUUCAAGACGAACCCUGCUGAAAAGUAACUAUCCGAAGGCGCAUUUGCAGCCAAAAGAUUGGUGAAAGCUGUACCGCCUGGAAGUCUGUAAACUUUACAAUGUUUUGCAGUUCGCUGGUAAACAAUGGGUGAUUUCUCAUGUCAAGAGCAUCAAUUAUGAACUGCCCCACGCUGUGUACUUCGAGAAAAGAGCACCCGACAAAAACUUUUUGUUAUAAUCACCAGAAGAAGAGGACAUCCACUGACCAAAGCAAUCUUCAUUCACAAGCAUCCUCUCUCUAAUGCANNNNNNNNNNNNNNNNNNNNNNNNNNNNNNNNNNNNNNNNNNNNNNNNNNNNNNNNNNNNNNNNNNNNNNNNNNNNNNNNNNNNNNNNNNNNNNNNNNNNUGGUUGUGUGAUGACCGCUGGGAGAUCGAAUUUUGCAUUAUGGCAUGUUCAUUUAACGGUGGUAAUGCUCGUUGAACAACCAUUUCACUUACUAGCUCCUAGUGGUAUGUUUUUUUCCUUAGCCAAGCUAUUUUAGAAUUGCGGAUUGGAAAUCGAUACAGCUUGUGUUUACUUGCGUUAAAUGUACAAUGUUAUUGAUAUUUUGCUUCCUAGGAAUACGCGAGGCAGCUGCCCUUUAGUUAUCCUUCAUCGAUUUGACAAUUAAACCGGCUAUUUUCAUGAAGCAAUGACAUGUAAACGUUGAUAUCCUACUUUCAUUAAUAGCCUGUCCCUAGAUCUUCUGGUACUCUUUUCAAGAUAAUUAAAGUGAGCUUGUUCCGGGUGAUUUGCCUUUACUGUGGCUUGAGGUGAUUGGCGAUGGUGUUGUGCGGUGGUGGCGGUGGUGGUCGUUGAUGACGUUGAUCAGAGACACAGGUUGUUGGUAGCAAUGGCCUGAGUUAAUCCUGGGUUGCUUUAGUUUAGGUGUAUAUUUGUGUAAAGUUUUAGUAACCAGAUUGUUAAGCUUUAGUAAUUUGGUUAUUAGGCUUGAUAUGAGGUAAGUCCGGGAAUAAUGAGCAUGGGGAAGGAUAUUGUAGACGUCUUGAGAUGGAUAUUAGUAAAAAUGGGCUCGUUUUGAUUAAAGCAUAAUGCAUUCAAUAUUAGUCUUGGAUCUGCCAAAAGGAUAACGCAAAACCUCAUCGACCGACACUUGACCUUUUUCUUUAUUCAGAGCGUGCAUCAUGAUGCUAAACGAAAAGCAAGUUGCAGUCUUAUUCACGUCUUCAAUGCAACCGUCGAGUCAAAAUUAAGUCCUGAUUCGGGAAUCGACUUGACUACAUUUCUGCACCAAGGAUUCAUUACUGUUACCUCGAACGAUCAUAGCUCUUUGAAAGCAUUACCUAGGGUGGAUGAUUAGUAUCAUCAUCAUUCCAAUGCUUCAAUCCUUCCGGCGAUUCAAACCUCAUGAGGAGGUAAGUCUUAAGCGAUUCUUGGAAUAAAUUAUGGUUAUAAUUGGGUUGGGAGGCCCGGACCUUCAUCAUUUUCNNNNNNNNNNNNNNNNNNNNNNNNNNNNNNNNNNNNNNNNNNNNNNNNNNNNNNNNNNNNNNNNNNNNNNNNNNNNNNNNNNNNNNNNNNNNNNNNNNNNUAGCAAUUUGACUCGGUGGUCAUUUUCGAUCUCCAUGGCAUCGAAGAAUUUCUCAACUUCCUGGAACCAAUCCAAAAUGUCCUUUCGAUUGAUAUUGCUCGAGGUCUAGUCAACAUCCCCUGUUCUGAUGGCCUCCUUGAAUAAGCCCAUUUAGGAACUCGACAUAAGCUUGUUGCCUCUGUUGGGGUUUUGUCCCACAUUCCAUAAAUUACUUUCGAGACUUGAGCGGCCUGAGCACAUUCGGUCGAAAGAUUACUAGGUAUGAGUUGGUAAACAAACGCUGGAUGACGACAAGUCCUAAAGCCUCCAUUCGGUUUGCUAUGCAAAUUGGUAGAACUUAGCCCAUGUAAUAGGCUCGUUUUCACGGCGCUCAAUUGCGGGGAGAUUAUCAUUGAUGUUAUUGGUCAUUGUCACAGAAGAAACCUACUCAGCUACCAUAUGAUGCAGAGGAAGAUAUGCUUGGAAAAAGGAUUUCAAAGGUAGUGUUUAUUUUCAACAAUGAAGCGUGGAUCGCAAUGUUUUAAGUGAGUAUUUGUAAGGAGGUCGCCCUUUAAGAAAUAAUUAUAAUCAAAUAACGAAAUUAUGGAAAAAUAUUAGUAGAGGAGAAAGUCUACAAAACACGUCUUGAACAUCUACAAAAUAUGUCCGAAAUCUUUGACGGUCUGGAAAUCAAGGAAGACGUGAAUUUGAGAUCAAAUAUUGCCUAAAUCAGUAUAGCCCAUUCGCAACUUCGAAGCUCCCACAAUUUUCUUUGAUUUGUGAGACCGCCUACUCCUAUGGUGCUCGAAGAUUUCUGUAUAAGCAUUUGCCUGUUGUUCCACGUCACUGCCUCAUUUCAAAGCUAUAUAAAAAAGUGUCCAUCAGCUAAAACAAUGCAUUCACUACUUCAGCGUAGCCUUUUGUUUACUAGACGUUGAUCAUGAAUCGAGCAAGUAGACUAGACACGUACUGCAAUUCNNNNNNNNNNNNNNNNNNNNNNNNNNNNNNNNNNNNNNNNNNNNNNNNNNNNNNNNNNNNNNNNNNNNNNNNNNNNNNNNNNNNNNNNNNNNNNNNNNNNNNNNNNNNNNNNNNNNNNNNNNNNNNNNNNNNNNNNNNNNNNNNNNNNNNNNNNNNNNNNNNNNNNNNNNNNNNNNNNNNNNNNNNNNNNNNNNNNNNNNNNNNNNNNNNNNNNNNNNNNNNNNNNNNNNNNNNNNNNNNNNNNNNNNNNNNNNNNNNNNNNNNNNNNNNNNNNNNNNNNNNNNNNNNNNNNNNNNNNNNNNNNNNNNNNNNNNNNNNNNNNNNNNNNNNNNNNNNNNNNNNNNNNNNNNNNNNNNNNNNNNNNNNNNNNNNNNNNNNNNNNNNNNNNNNNNNNNNNNNNNNNNNNNGUUGCGACCUUUCAAGAAUCGCGGCCUACUCAUUUCUUUUUUUAAUCUUUUGAUUAAAUCUAAGUGGAAGUAUUUUUUAUUUUUUUAUUAAAGUAUAGUUUAGUUGUGGCAUGUGCAAUUCAAGAGGUCUCGGGUUUUCGAGUGAUUCUGAAAAUGGGUCUUAUUAACAAGAGUUCUGAGUAAGCUAAUUGAAAUAUUAAAAAUAGUAAAAACUCAUGUCGACAUAUUUCACGAGAAUUAUUGAAGUGAAGAGAGGUACGACGAAGCGAAGAAGAUGUUUAAGAGCAUGGUGAACCAUGGGUGUCGGCCUAACAGUGAUUGUUAUUUCACCUUCAUUCACUAUCUUUGCAAGGGAGGGGAUUUCGACACCGCUUUGCAGAUUUGUAAGGAGAGUAUGGAAAAGGGUUGGGUUCCGAAUUUCGGAACGAUGAAGUCGCUAGUUAAUGGGCUCGUGAGUAUUGAUAAGGUCGAUGAGGCUAGGGAGCUUAUUAAGCAGGUGAAGGAGAGGUUUUCUAGAAAUACAGAUUUGUGGGAUGAAGUAGAAGCUGGUUUACCUCAGUAAUGAAGAUCAGAUGGUUUGCUAUUUUCAUUUGGUUUCAAUAAAAGCGCAGCUUGAUCUGAAAUGGGCAAACAUUGGUAUCAUGGAAGCCAGGUUUUACUUUUUUCAAAAUCGAUCAACUGCAGAGAUUCUCGAAUGAAAAGGCUGUCGGACAUCCUCUUAUCAUUCAUUAGGUUCUGGUUCUGGUUACUCUUGAUGUACGGACUAAAAGCGCAUGUGAGCCGAACGAACUUUGGGAAGAUGUCUUACCUCUCUCUUGGUGCAGGUUCAAGUACCAGCCUCCCUUUGAGCCACCUACCGUGAGUCUUAUGGUGCUACUCUCUGGUUGGUUAUUGACUGUUGUUAUUUUUGUGUUAGGGUAGCUGGGGAUUCCCAUAGGAAGUUUUUCCAGUGGAAUAGUGUGGUGUAUGUAGAGCAUCAAUCUGGAAGUUGACAUCACUGUUUGCUGUUUGUGUCAAUUGGACAUGUGAUGGUUAUCACUCCGAACCUUUUCAAUUCGUCCAUUCAUCCAGUUGGAGUCACUUGGUCUUGAAGGAUAACCGAUGUUACCUAAGGCUUUUGUCUUGUUAGUGGCCAUACCAUAGCAUGUUGAUGAGGGAUUGUCAAAUCUUUCCAGUACUGCUUUGGUAAAUCAGAGAUUGGAUGACUGUUUUGCUGCUAGCAGAGGUGCCAAUGUAAUGCCCGUUCUUUGUUUGUUGCUUAUGUUAAUUGCUGGAGAUGCAGUAUGCUUUUCUUACUCUGAACUGUAAAUGCAUAUUAUCGAAACUACUUUUAGCCGAAAUAUACACCUUUAUCCUGAGAAGACACGAGCAUUGCUUCGAUGUACUCUGUGCUCGUGAGACGAUAUGAACUUUUGCGGCUCAAGGCGAUUUAUGUGUUCGCAGGUAUUGAGAAAAUCGAUUCAGUGUUUUGCAUCAGCAAAUGCCCUCAGCUAUACUUUCCACUCAUGCAAGGGAAAGAAGGAACUUUUUUUUCAUCAGGAGGAAAUCUGGGUGAAUUGAGGGUAAGUGCUUGGCAUAUAUCUGGGCAGAAGGAACAUGUAUCUCAAAUGUUCUCCAUAGAAAGGAGUCAAGCAACCAGAAGAAUUUCCAAUGAAUUGAACAGGAGAAAGAGAGUGCGAACGUCUGUGUUUAUGAACGCCGAUAGGCUUAAAAGAUUCCGAAAGAGAAUGACUUGGACAAUUGUCUUCCCUAAGACCUGUCAAAUUUGUCCUCAAGAUGAGUAUAAUUGAACCCGCGAUUCCCAUUUGUCCGAUAACUAUCUUUGACCUGUGCGACAGAGCAAAUGCUUGGGCGAGCUCAAAGCUCGCAUGGUGACGGUCAUAGGUAGCUCGAGCUUGCCGGCCCCUCGGGUGAGCCACGAGCUCGCCAACUUGCUUCAUGGCCGGUCACUGGACUGCCGACCAUUGCUGAGGCAUGCAAAAAGAAAAAAGAAAAAAGAAAAAAAUAUGAAAAAUUCAAUUUCUUUUACAAAAGUUUACUUUCAUAAGUAUAAAAGUUCCAUUAACAAAGGAAUUAAGGACCCUAAGACUAGGAAAAUAUUAAGGGGGAAAUUAUUUUCCUAAAUUUAAGUUUUACUAGGAAAAUCUUUCAGUUAUCUGGGCAAUUGUUGUCCAUUGAUUCAUUUUUCGAAAAUGUUUUCUAUGAAAUAAACAGAUCGAAGAAAUGUUUGAGUUGGUAGUGUUGCUCAGGAUUUUUGGUAAAAUAAUCCAUAAAAAAAUUAUACAUAUUUCUUACAUUUGGUUAUUGAAUUACUAUGCAUAAUCCUAUGUAACUCUGUGUUUGUGUUGACAUGCGCAAUAAGUAAUAUAUGUGGAGGAUUUGUACGGACAUUUUUAUGUGCAUUUUCAUUUGGGGGGAUCAUCAGGCGUACGAGCCAGUCAAGAUAUUCGUGAACCACUUGUGUUGGACUCAUCGCCUAUUUGAAAUCUGCUUGAUUUUUUUUUUUUUGAGUUCAAUUAUCUUGCCGAGUCAAAUUCGAGUCUAAAGACACUUGACUUGCUCCGGUCACGAGCCUAACUGAGUAUUUAAUUUUUUGUUGUGCUUUCUUAUUAUGGUGAUUGAUAAUGUAAAAUAUUCUUACAAUAUUACUUUUGCCAUGUAAUUGCCUUUCAGCCUCUUAUAUAUUUUUAAAGACAAAAUAAACAGAGUAUUUCGAGCCGAGUUGAGUUUGAUUGAGUGAGAAAAAAUUAAGUACGUUGAUUUUAUACACGUAAAAGUGAGUCGAGCCAAGUCAGGCUCGAGGAUGCCGAGCUCUACACCAAGUCACGUUCAAAUAGGGAAUUAGGUACUUUAUUGAGUUCAAAGCUUCGAGUUUAUGAGUCUAGGAUUAUGUGACAUCCCGAUUUUUCAAUUUUAUUUUCAAUAAAUUGAUAUGGGCAUUUCGUUGGCACGUAUAUAGUUCUUUUCCUUGAGUUGGCCACUCAUGUGGAAACUAGUCUAUCGGGUGGAGCUGUUAAGAAUUUCUAAUGCAUCAGACUCGAGAAUUUGACCAGGAAGCGAUCUUUCGACCGAGCUAAUCUACAAGGGUCAUUGCGGCACAAUUAAAAUUGAUUAGAGAUCGGAGAUAGGUCGACUCGACAGAGGCAUGUGAUCAAGUGUGGGUGAUUCCACCAGAUCGCACAAUUCUGGUCGAUCGGCACUGGACCGACUUUUCUGUCGAUUGGGUACCCUGUGUUCGUAUUUGAAACCUUGAGAUUACCCCGACAACCAAAAAUCUCCAAUGUUUCAAAGAUGUACGUUGUGGCUUGAGAUGAUCAACCACAUGUCAAAUGCAUGAAAAUUUCUAAAGGCUACCCAGUAGGUUGGACCGUGCUAGUAUCGUGCCAAAGUGAAAUUAACCGUGGAAUUAAGAUCGAAUUCAGAAAUUGGAAGUUUGGGUGUGUCACAAAUCAUUUCAAGAUCAUUGAAUCAUCUUUGGAAGAUUUUUCAUGCAAGCCAAGCUUUUUAGCAAAAUAAUCAAGAAAUGGCUAAUUUGGCUCGAGAAAUUAGUAUGCCGNNNNNNNNNNNNNNNNNNNNNNNNNNNNNNNNNNNNNNNNNNNNNNNNNNNNNNNNNNNNNNNNNNNNNNNNNNNNNNNNNNNNNNNNNNNNNNNNNNNNNNNNNNNNNNNNNNNNNNNNNNNNNNNNNNNNNNNNNNNNNNNNNNNNNNNNNNNNNNNNNNNNNNNNNNNNNNNNNNNNNNNNNNNNNNNNNNNNNNNNNNNNNNNNNNNNNNNNNNNNNNNNNNNNNNNNNNNNNNNNNNNNNNNNNNNNNNNNNNNNNNAUGUUGACAAGUGUAAGGUGGAGAUUCGGUUCAAAAAGGGCACCCAUCAAUAUUAUCUCAAGCUUUGGAAGAGAGAGACAGAGAGAGAGAGAGGGAGAGAGGGGAGGAGCUGCUCGUGCGACCAGCCCAGACGCCGCCUCCAUCCGCUCGACCGGCUGCCCAUCGCCGGAGUUCGCCACCUCGCCGUCAUGCCGAACCGCCGUUGGCCGACCCCCUCUCCUUCCCUUUCCUCUCCCGUUGCGGUCUCUCUUCUCCAUCUCCCUUGGCUGCUUCGAGACCCAGCAGCAACCAGAGAAGUCCCGUCCGAAGCUGCACGCCAGCCGGAGGUCUCGCCGUUCGCCCGUCGCCGCCGUCGCGCGUCUACCUCGCGCUCGCCCGCGCCUGGCCGCGCGCCGCUCCGCCCGCUUCGCCCAGCUCGUCGCCCCGAGCUGCUGUUUAGCUCGCGCAAGAGCUGCCGGAGCUCAUUCGUCGCCGCCGUGCACCGCCGUUCGUCGCCGCCAGCCACCGCCGUAGCUCCUCCGCCCUUUCCGACCCGAACCGGCGCCGGAUCUACCCUUCCUCGGCCUCAAACCGCCAUGGACAGCAGCUGAAAAAAAUGGGUAUGCAGCGGACGUUUGGCCCGUUUUGGCCGCCUUCCUGAGCCCGGAUGCUCGGCCCGCUUUGAGGAAAGUUGUUCUCCUCGGCGUCCCCGUCGUUUUGGUCCGCUCGACUCGCUAAUCCGGUGAGUUUAGCUCACUAAACCUCGUUUAGAGGGUUAAUUAUGCUUAGGGAGGUUUAGUUUAUGUUAAGUAUUAUUAGGUUGUUAGUUUAGGUUAAUUAAGAGUGGAUUUGGUUAAGGUUGUGGUUUAAUUUAAAGUGUGCUUAAUUAAGGGUAAGUAGGUUUAUUUAAAAUAAGCCUUGAUUUGACUUAAAUAAAUUUACUUUUGAUUUAUUUAAAUGUCUCGAAAUUAUUAUAUGAUUUAAUAAUAUAUUUUAUUCGAAAUUAAUAAAAUAUUAUUAUUUAAUUAUUUUCGGAAUAAAUUUAAUUAUUUAUUAAAUUCCGAAAAUUUUGUCGGGACCCUAAAUUCUCAGAAUUUCGUACCGGUCGCUGCUGUGUAGUCAGAUUUUGAAAUUGAUGAUUGGAUAUUAUAAAUCGAAUGUGGAUUGUGAAAGAUAGGGAUAUUAUUAUUUAAUUAAUUUUCGAAAUAAAUUUAAUUAUUAAAUAAAUUCCGAAAAUUAAGUUGGGACCAUAAAUUCUCAGAAUUUUAUGCUGAUCGCUACUGUGUAUUCAGAUUAUGAAUUUGAUAAUUAGAUAUUUCAAAUUGAGUGAUGAUUUGUGCAAUUAAUUAUCGAAUUGUUGUGUGCUGGUUGAAAGACUCGGGUCGCAGUAGUGGCUAGGCUGACUGGACCUUUGUUCUUAUAGAAAUGCCGUCAGGAGAGUGACGUGGCUCGAGUCGCAGUAGUGGCUAGGCCGACUGGACCUUUGUUCUUAUAGAAAUGCCGUCAUGAGAGUGACGUGGCUCGGGUCGCAGUAGUGGCUAGGCCGACUGGACCUUUGUUCUUAUAGAAAUGCUGUCAGGAGAGUGACGUGGCUCGGGCCGCAGUAGUGGCUAGGCCGACUGGACCCAUGCUCCUUCGGGAAUGCCGUCGACGUAAUGACAAAGCCGCGCUCCAUGGGGGGGAGGCGAUGCCUGGCAUUAGUGUUAGUAGAUAGCCGAACUGCGAGUAGGCUAUGCCAUUGUGUGGCAGUGAAUAAUAAUUGGAAUGUGUGUUAAGUGAGACUGUGAUUUAUAUGAAAGUGAUGACGUUCCAAUUGUUUGAAUUAUUAUUACUACCUGAGAUUGUGUAAUACGAAUUGUGCUAACCUGCAGGGAAGAAUUGAGGCGAGGUAAGUUCUUUGUGUGAUGUGGCUAGGCCACCCUUGGGCGUAUUUUCUUUCUAAUAGGGGUUUAGGGGGUUGAACUUGCUGAGACAUCGUCUCAUCCCGGUUGUGGGAUUAAAAUUUCAGGUCCCUGAUGGACAGAGUGGCCAGAUAGCUUUGGUUGGCAUUGAAGAGUUGCAGAGGUGAAGCGAUAAGAUUGGAGGAUGUGUCCGACUUGUAGGUCGUAGGACAGUUUAUUUUAAGAGCCGGUCUUUUGUAGACUUUUGGCUGUAGGCCUUCGUCUGUAACUCCGUUGGUUUAUGUAAUUGAUUGGUUGUGAAAUUGUUUCCUGCUUUUCUAUCCCGUAUUUUAUUGUCAGGGGUUUUAUAGUACGUUUCGCUUGCGCAAUAAUAAAUGAAUGGGGUUGGCGACACUACCUGGGAAUGUCGCAUUUGAAUGACCAUGGUGGGAUGUUGACGCGCUCGAGGUUCGGGGCGUGACAUCCCUGUUUAAGUGGUAUCAGAGCAUGGUCUGUGUAUGGAGUGAUAAUGUGCAAUGAGUCAUGGGAUAGUUAGUAGGAAAUGCUUUUAAUAUGCUGAUGCAUGUGGUUGAUAGCUGUUUGGUAGCUUGUUUGUGUGGUCGCUCAAAUUUCAACCUGAUGUUGGAAUCGGAAAACAGGUGUCUAUAAGGAACCUGUAAAAUGAGUGACCAGGAGUGGAGAACUCCUUUGGAGGAGGUCGAUAAGACUUGUACCUCAGGGUAGGAUGCUGACAAGAGUUGGUACCUGAGGUAAAGCGCAGGCUUAGACCAGCGCAAGUGUGAGAGUACCGUUGCAAGUCGGUAGUUAGAGUGUAGCAGCACCGAACGAUCUUAGGUCCGUUGAGAUCGUUCAGGCGCUAGUGUCCUUUGGAAGCUUGUUGGGUCAGUAAGCUCAGGAUUGAGCCGUUGCUGUUGCCGUUGUUUCUACCGUUGCCAGUGUUGUGAUCGAUGUUGUUACUGCCGCGCCUGUUGAGGCCUAAUAUGGAGUUGUGAUCGAGGAUCAAGUCUCUGUAUCUGAGUCAAGGUUCAGUCUAGACAGAGAUGAAAAUCGGUUGGAGAGAAAGGCCGAUGUCAGAAGAAAGAUGCCCUGUUUCACCCAACCAGAAGAGUAGAGUUGGAAAGUCAGUGCUCAACUCGAUCGAUGUGUGUCGUGUCUGUAAGAAAAGACAUGGAUUUGUUCCGUGCUGUAAGAGGGAAAUGACUUGUUACAGGUGUCACCAGUAAAGCCAUUUGAUCAAAGAUGGCUCGUAUAGAUGGAUGGAACUAUAGCUGUUUCUGCAUCGUUGUUGAUAAGACAGAACAUGAGAAACAUGCUUCGGGACAUUUAGUGGGGUACUUGGAACAGACCCCAGUGCAAGGAAUGGUGCAUGAUGUCACUUGAUGGGAAGUAGAUGACUCACCGAUUGUGUGCUGAGUUUGUGGAAAAGAGGCUUGAAUCAGCCCAGUGUCGGAGUAAAAAGGGGAGCGUGCUUUGAAUGUGGCCAGCACGGCCAUCGAGUUAGGAACUGUCUGCAUAAGUCCAUGAGAGUGUAAGUACCGCUGCUGCAGAUAGGACGCCACUAGGAUGGCUAGAGGAGCAUGAAGGGAUCGACCAUGCAUCAAUCAGAAGAAGAAUGUUUAUGAGAUGUUUUAUGCAGAGUAAUGCAGUAGAAUUUUCAGUGAAGGUUGUAGGGUUUUCGUUGUGGUAAUAAGGUAAGAGAAAUGUGAAUUUCUGACUAUAGUUGUACUCAAAGAGUUUGCUUAAGUAUGACUUGGAAGUCAUUUAUAAAAAGGUUGGCUCAAGGAGCUUUAUGUUGUUUUGAAUCAUGUUGGUGAUAUAAUUCAGUUUGUUUAGAUAACGUGCGAAAGUUUUGAAUCAUUGAAAGUCGAAGAGGAAUUUCGAUCCUUGUUAUUCGUCACUGAAGAUGACCCGGUUCUGGUUGUUGGUUAUCGAAUCUACAUGGCAGCUGUAAUAGAUGCGUCAGUUGAGGAGCCGAAUAUGGAGAACAUAAUCGUGGUACGUGAGUUUUCUAAGGUAAUCUCUGGAGAAUUGUCAAGUUUGCUGUCAGAAAGAGAAAUAAGGUUCGUGAUUGAAUUAGCACCCGGAACAGAGCCAGUUCUUAAGGCUCCUUACCGGAUGGUGUUACCCGAAUUAAAAGAACUGAAGGUGUAGAUGCAAGAAGUGUUGGAUAGGGGAUUCAUACUGUUGACGCCUAAAAAUUAGUUAGGUUUUAUUUAGCUUUAUUUAACUUUAUUUUAUUUUAUUUUAUCUUUUUCGGAUAAUAAAUAAACAAAUAACAAAAACAAAAAAAAAAAAAUAAAAACAGGAAAAGAAACAAAAAAAAAAGCAUAAGCUAAUAGCCACAAGGGCUGGGCCUUCAAAGCCUAGCCCCUCCCUCUUUUCUUUUCCUUCGCAGGCCCGCAAGGCCCAGCCGCGUGGCUCAGCCCGGCUCUUUCUCCUUGUCUUCUUCCUCCCCUGUCUUCUUCCCCAACCGGAUAAGCAGCACGCGCCGGAGAGGAGGACGUGCGUGACGCCGGAGCAAAACGGAGGAAAAGUAGCGCACGUGGAGCAGGGGGUGGCUGGCGUCGGAUAAGAACGUAGGAGGGGCAGCUGGCGUCGGAUGGGACACCGGUUUGGCCGUCGAAGGCCGCUCGAUGCGCGAAGGGGACCAACGGUCGAGCUCCGUCGACCGGCCACCCCUCGGCCUAUAAAUAGGCCCUCCAUCCCCGACGAAGAGGAGAGACACGGACGCCGAGAAGGAUCGAAGGCUGCAGAUCCUCGAAACCUCCCACUAAGAGACUUCAGACGGGGGGCCGAGGACGAGCAGGCCGAGAUCCGAGAACUCGCGGCCGGAGACGAUGGGGAGAGAUCCGAGUGGGUGGAGGCUGAGCACAGAGAUCCCGGAGAGAGAGAGACGGAGCCGGAUCGAGGUCGCGACCCUUGGACACCCCACUGAGAGACUUCAGGGGGGUCGAGGGCUCGCGGCUUCGGAUCUGGGCUUCGCCGGAGUAGAGAGAGAGAGAGAGAGGGAUGCCGGAGAAGAGAUUCGCUUGGGUCUCGUCGUCGCGCCGCCCCUGUCGCGCCAUUGCCACGAACAGGUAUCGUGAUGUCGCCGUCGCCAUCUCCCUCUUCGUAGUCCAGUCAUCGUUGCCGUCGCUGCCGGAAUGCUCCCGUUUCCCCCCCUUUCGGCGCCGCGGAUUCGCAAACCCUAGGGUUUGCGAUUUCUGGGUCACGAAGCGGAUCCGGGUUUGGAAGGCCGGGUAGGGAUUCUGCGAUUUAAGGGGCGGCGGAAGCCGGGUCGGAUCCGGGUAGGGUUUCACCGGGGGAGCGGGUUGCGAAGUCGGGUCGCGAAUCGGAGUCGGGUCGGGUAGGGUUCGCGGGGAGUCGGGUUGCGGAGCGGGCUGUCGGGCUGGGUUGUCGGGUCGGGCCGGGUGUCCCUAAACACCCGGCCACGACGCCGUUUCAUUAAAUAAAAUAAAAAAAAGAGAAAAAGCCGAAAAAUCUGAGUCGGGCCCGCGUUGUGGGCCCGUCCGCGGGUGGGUCGUUGGCCCGGGUCGGACCCAACCCGCGGAUCCGACCCGGGCCGGUUUUGUUUUAUUAUUUUAAUAUAAAAUAGUAUUCUAAUAAAUAAUAAAUAAAUAAUUUAUUUUAAAAAAAAAUCAAAAAUGUUUUAAUUUCCAAAAAAAUCAAAAAAAUAUUUAAAAAAAAUGUUGAAAAAUGUUUUAUUUUCUAAAAAAUCGAGAAAAAUCAAAAAUAANNNNNNNNNNNNNNNNNNNNNNNNNNNNNNNNNNNNNNNNNNNNNNNNNNNNNNNNNNNNNNNNNNNNNNNNNNNNNNNNNNNNNNNNNNNNNNNNNNNNCGACACAGACUUUCCAGUGCAUCACCGGGGGAACACCUGUUCUAUUCAUGAAGGAUAAAGUUGAUUCAUUGUGUUUGUACGUUGAUAUUCUUUAACAUCGACUUGAGGUUAGGGUAUCAUCAGUUGAGGAUCAGGAAGAAAGACAUCGAAGUUAAGACCUCACACUUGAUACAGUAGUUAUGAGUUUACUGUAAUGCUGUGUGGUUAAUGGACACCCCAGCUGUUUGUUUGGGUCUGAUGAGCAAAAUGUUUAAGGACACUUGAAUCAGUUGUGAUCGUGUUCAUUGAAGUUAUCCUGGUGUGUUCAAAGAGUGCUGAGGAGCAUAAGAGACAUUAGAAGAUGAUACUUCAGACCUUGAGGACUCUUGAAUCUUACGCUAAGUGUAGCAAGGGCGAGUUUUGGAUGACUCGUAUUGCGUUCCUAGGCCAUGUGAUUUCAGGCAAAGAAAUCUCCAUAGACCCCGUCUAAGAUUGAAGCAGGGAACAGUUGGUCGAGAUUGGCUACAGUGACAGAGAUCAGAAGUUCUGGGGAUUAGCAGGACAUUUCAGACAGUUCGUAAAAGGGUUUUUAGCGUUAGCGUUACCAUUGAUAAGACUACUGAGGAAGUAAGAAAAGUUCGUGUGGACAGGAGGGUUGAGAUCUACAGUGAUGCGUCGUUUAAAUGAUUGUGUUAUGUGUUGAUGCAGCAUGAUAGAGUUAUUGCAUAUGCGUCCCAUCAGUUGAGAUCUUGUGAGUUAAAUUAUUGGACGCACAUCGUAGAACUUGCAGUAAUUAAGUUCGUUUGGAAUUUUAGAGGCACUAUCGGUACAGAGGAAUAUUUCAUAUCGUCAAUGACUAUCAAAGUCUUAAGUAUGUAUUCAGUCCCUGUCCAGACCCGGCCUAGAGACCCGAAUCUAGAAAUUUGAUUAGAAAGUUUUUUUCUUGACCUUUUAGUGUAAUUGGUGCCUUGCUUGCUUGCACAUUGGUUGUUUCGCAUGUCUAAUUUGCGUAUUUAAUUACGAGUGUGAAUGUUUAGCUGCAUAUGCUAUAUUUUGAUGUUAACGCGCUCUAAUACUGUCGGGGUUGAAAUGAGAGCUUGUACUCACCGUUCCUUAAGUUUCUGUGCCGCUUUUGGUUGGAUAUUGGAAUUGUAAAGAACAUUUUUCGUGUUGUCGUUUGUGGUUCCUGCUGCCCUUAUUUAGUUUGUCAUGCGUGGAAUUUGUUCAUAUUGAAAUCCUCUAUUGGAUAGGAGCUUUGAAUCUGCAUGAUUUGAACUUUUUGGGAAAUCGUGUUAGCUUGUUAAGUCUGCUUGGAGUUGUCUGAUGUUUAUUUAGUUUCAUUCUGUCAGAUUUGACUCUUGAGUAUUAGGGAUAAAAGACGAGCUCUUGUGAUAGCUGGGCCCGACCCGAUAAUUCUAAGGGAGAGUUUCGUGUUGGUAGAUGUGAAAGAUUGUGUGAUCUCCUUGAUAUAUUACUCCAUCACAUACUUGGCUUCCUUCCAUUGAAAGAACUUAUCAGAACAAGUGUCUUGUUGAGUAGGGGAGGUCCUUAUGAACCUCCCUUCCCAAUCUCGUGUUCAAUGAGUUGAGGUUACCGAUAGAAGGCGUUUUUUGCAAUACGUGGAUUGGGCAUUGUCUUGUCGUGAUUUAUCCCCUGUGAAAUUCAAAAAUGUUCCGUGCAUCAAGACGCAUAUUCCAUAUAUUUUUGGAUAAACUUUGCCAUAAAUCGCAAGGCUAACUCUUAGAGUGAGCUUUGAUUUGUCGAUAAUAUCAGUAUUGCGGUACCUUUAAAACCUUGACAGAAUUCCAUCUGGGAAUAGAGGGCCUUGCUUCCUUCUUCCAUUUGUCUUUCAAAGUUAUGGAUCUUACAUCUUGGACUCACUUUUAUGGAUGAUGGGCCAAUCGGAAGCUUGCUUUCAGUUCCUUGUCUUGAGGAUUUGUGUCUUUGUAAUUGUUGGCAUUUCAAAACCUUACUAUUUCAGCUCUGAAUCUAUUGAGCUUGUUUAUCGAGCAAAGACACCUAAACUUAAGCUCGAGCUCUUUAGCUAUAUUGGUGGGCACUUGUCUGAGUGUGCGAUACGCGAUACUUUUGUGAUAUGUAACGCUCAUUUGAUUUUGGGUGGUUCGGCUGAGGAGAUUUAUGCUUCCUGCGCACAUAAAAGCUUCUAAAGAAUCCGUUUGUUGCGAAACGUCUUUUUCUGCAUUACUAUAUUCUUGAGGUAUAAUAUCAAUCUUAUUUCUUGUAUUUUGGUUGAAGCAUUGCAUUAUGCUUUGUUACAUUCUUGAGGUAUAAUAUCAAUCUUAUUUCUUGUAUUUUGGUUGAAGCAUUGCAUUAUGCUUUGUUAGUCUAAUUAAUGUUUUUUGGAUCUAUUUUCAAGAGAUCAGUUCCUUUCUAGUCUUCUCUUGCCUCAAUAGAUUCCCUAAAACUAAGGAUGCUCAACAAUUGUCCUUGUUUGGUCAGCCUUUUGUCUUUCUUAUUGUUUCCUCUUACUGAAUCUUGUGAUCAAAUAAGGAAGUUAAUCGUUAUGUAAUUGUCAAUUAGGGCUUGGUUGUGGACUCCAAAAACGAUGAAGGAAUACGCUCAAGUUCAUCACGAUUGAAAAAUUUGAUGCCACUGAUGACCAACUCUUAGCUGUGACGAUCAUACUUAGGCUGCCCAAGUUUUGUGGAGGUUUCACAUAAUCUGCUUAGAGCAGAGGUCAGGAUCUUCCGUGAUAGAUCUUUUGGAAAGCAUUCAGCUCCUUCCUAGGAGCUCAAAUCAAUAUUUCAUUUCGCUGUUCCUCUAUAACUUUUAGCACAUUUAGUUAGUUGAUGAGACUCUUGAGAUAGCUAGACUACCGCUUCUUGAGAAGCUAUACAUUGAUAAAAACAAGCUAUUAGUUUUGCCGGUGAGCAGAAAAAUUUGAGAGGUCUUGUUAUCAAGGUAUAACUUCUUAAGAAACAAUAGUCUAGCUAUCUAAAGAGUCUUAUCAACUAACUAAAUGUGCUAAAAGUUAUAGGGGGAUAACGAACUAAACACUUUCCAAAAGAUUUACCACGGAAGCUCCUGCCCUCUAUUCUGAGCAGAUUAUGUGAAGCCUCCGCAAAACUUGGGUAGCUUAAGUAUGAUUGUCACGACUAAGAAUUGGUCUAUCAAAUUCUUAAAUCGUGAGGAACUUGAGCAACGACUGGAAGCACUCGGGCACCGGGUCCAAUAUUCCUUCAUCGUUUUUGGAGUCCACAACUAAGCCCUAAUUGACAAUUACAUAACAAUCAACUUUCACAUUUGAUCACAAGAUUCGGUAAGAGCAAACGGUAAGGACAGAAUAGUUAUCCCACAAAACAAAAGACUGACCAAACAAGGACAGUUGUUGAGCAUCGCAAGGAGUGAUAGGGAAUCUAAUCUCAUCGUGUCAUAAGUGUUGAAUGACAAGAGGUUGAGGUGAGAGAAGACUGGGAAUGAUCUAAUCUCUUGAAAAUGGAUCCAAAGAACACUAAUUAACACUGAUAAAACAUAAUGCAAUGCUUCGACCCAAAAUACAAGAAAUAAGAUUGAUAUUAUACUUCAAGAAUGUAGUAAUGUAGAAAAAGACGUUUCGCAACAGACAGAUCUUUUAAAAGCUUAUGUGUGCGGGAAGCAUAAUCUCCUCAGCCAGACCAUUCAAAACCAAAUAAGCGUCACGUAGCAUAAAAACAUCGUGUAUCGCACACUCACACAGUGCCCACCAAUAUAAGCUAAAGAGAUCGAGCUUAGGUUUAGGUGUCCUUUACUCGAUAAACAAGCUCAAUAGAUUCAGAGCUGAAACAGUUUUCUGAUUGACCCAUUAUCCAUAAGUGAGUCCACUAAGAUGUAAGAUCCGUAACUUUGGAAGACAAAUGGAAGAUGAAAGCAGGGUAAUCUGUUCUUGGAUGGAACUCUGUCAAGGUUUCGCUCCUAAACACGCAUAAAAGUACCGCAAUACUAAUAUUAUUGGAAAAUUAAAGCUGACUCCAAUAGUUUGAACAUUGCAAUUUAUGGCAAAGUUUAUCCAAAGAGUAUAUGAAAGUUGCGUCUUGAUGCACGGAACACUUUAGAGAGAAGGAUUUCAUAGGGGAUAAGUCACAACCAGAUAAUGCUCAAUCUAUGUAUUGCAAGAAACGCCUUCUUUGGGUAACCUUAACUCAUCGAAUACGAAAUUGGGAAGGGAUGCCCACAAGGACCUCCACUUACUCGAUAAGACACUUGUUCUGAUGAGUUCUUUCACCGGAAGGAAGCAAGUCUGUGAUGGAGUAAGGGAUCAGGGAGAUCACACAAUCUUUCACAUCUACCAACACGAAACUCUCCCUUAGAGUUAUCGGGCCCAGCUAUCACAAGAGCUCGUCUUUUAUCCAUGGCUCUAGCUAAUACUCAGGAGUCAAAGCUGACAGAAGGAAACUAAAUAAACAUUAGACAACUAGACUUACAAGCUAACAUGAUUUGUUAAAAAGUUCAAAUCAUGCAAAUUCAAAGCUCCUAUCCCAUAGAGGAUUUCAAUGUGAACAAAUUCUGCGCAUGACAAAUUAAAACAAGGGCUCUUUUGAGCAGGAUCCACGGAUGACGACACAGAAGGAGCUGAACGCUUUUCAAAUGAUCUACCAUAGAAGCUCCUAACCUUUGCUCUGAGCAGAUUAUGUGAAGCCUCCGCAAAACUUGGGCAGCCCUGAGUAUGAUCAUCAUGGCUAAGAGUUGGUCACUGAGUUCAGGUGGCAAAACUAAUAGCUUAUUAACUCUUACAUGUUUUGAAACGUAAAAUUCAUUAUAAAGAAUAUAAGGUGAUCUUUUGGCUCAUUAUUAGUCAUUUUGGUUGUUCAUUGUAAGUAGUAGAAUUGCGACAAUACAUGGAACUCGUAGUGUCGUUAGAGCACAACAAGCUUGUUCAUGGCCUCUUCUUGAUUUCAGGACAGUUUAUUUGCAAAUUCAUGCACCUAACUACUUCAUGCUUUUGUUUCCUUCUCUUGAUAUGAGAACAACUCGUAUUUCUUUGUGUGUGACAUUGCAACUUGAAUUAAUCUAAUGUGGCCCUUCAGUUUAAGUGCAGGGCUAUGGCUGAACUAUGAGUUCUUAGACUAUUUGGGAAUCCUCGAGUUCCUUCCUGAAAUUUUACCACUAAACAGUCUUCACCAUUUGUCUUUGGCAAAGUGGCAUAUGAAAACCUAAGAUCAGUGAAUUGUAUGCUCUUGAUGUACACAAUUAUCUUUGUGAUGUGAGAAGAAAUAGAUAUGUCCCAUCCGAUUGGAGGGUGGAUGUCCUUUAAUCGGAGAUUGGAGAAGGAACAUCAGGUAAAUUUGGUGUAUUAUACUGCAUCAUGGAAUCCAUGGCAGUUUCCAUAUAAUCUAGGGUUAUAGAUGCAGAUCUUUGCUCUAUAACGGUUCUAAAUGUAGCCUGUUGAAAUUGCGGGCUUUGCAGCCUAGUUCGGAAUAUGUGAAGGAUAUCGUUCCGGCACAUAAAUAAAGGGAGGGAAGAAAGGGCCGGCCUCUAUAUGCGAGUAGAAUUUUUCAGUUCUACUUGCAAACUAUUCUUUAUGUGAAUAUAUGAACAUUUUUUCUUGAUGGAUAGCGAGGCCCUACGUGGAAAGGGGACAGUCGACAGAAUCCGAUUGUGGUGGCUGCCGACGAGACUAAAAAGCCUUC
rnacentral:lncRNA from 1 species